UGGGUUAAGCCUAGAAUAUACGGCCUGUU
rnacentral:piRNA from 1 species